GCCGGACGGCCGGACGCUCUCACCCCGCGGCCUCGGGCUGUCUACUAUGGCUCUCCUAUGGUCCGCCCUGGCACCCUUCUCGCUUCGCUGUCAAUAUGAGGGGACUGAGGCUCCAAGAAAGCGAGAAUUCAGGCCCGAUGUCGUCCCCAGUAAGCAGCAGCAGUGAGGUGGACUUUCGGCUCCAUUUCCUGUGGCUUGUGGUCACAAGAUCUUUAGGAGAUGCUGGAAAGACACACUUCCACAACAGCAGAACUCGAGCAAGGUGAUGACUGACAACUGCAGAACCUGCAAUUUAUUCAACUUGUCACUUAUAGAAGAACCCAAAGAGGCUGCUAUUUAAAACUAUUAAUAAGCAGAAACUUCCCUUUUAAAAUAAAAUAAAUACAUUUUAAUUGAU